CCUACCUUCAUGCUCACUGCUGUUACCUCCCAACCCUUCCAAAUUUUCCUUAUCAGAAGAGGCCAGGGGAAGAAGGGACGACGGGAAGAGGCCCUUGCCUGCAUCCCUGCUCUUGAGUAGUAAUCCUUGCAAGGGCUCUCCACAACGUGGGGUUGCCGUAAAUUGUGAGGAUUUUCAUCCAUUCUCCGUGAGAUGGCAAGUGUGCGAUCGAAUCAGUGACUGUGACGGUAGAGAAACCGCAGGUGUAAGGGAGGAACCCAGGGCAGGCACCGCAGACUCCCAGAGAGCGCCGCGCCAAGGUUCUGUGACCUUGAACAACAGUAAGGAAAAGCAUAGGAACACCUAUGAGAGGGAUCUAGGUAGAAAUAACAGACUGCACAGAAGAGGGAAAGAUUCAUCCUAUCCUGUGUGGAAGCGCAAAUGACUUGCUAAGUCAAUCUGUAGAGGAGACUGGACUUCAAUCUAGAUCUAUGAAAUCAAGAAUGAGGAAUCCGGGAAAGUUUUAUGGAGAAGGUAUCAUUUGAAACAGUGACCUUUAAGGAUGAGUAAGAUUUACACUCUGGAACGUCGCCAAGAUGUCCGUCUUGACUUAAUUUAAUGAUGUCUGCCUGAGAUAAUCACCCAGCAUGUAUUAAGUACCUACCUGGUCAUCACCACUUGCCCUCAAAAAGUAAUAGCUAAUUUGGGAAGGCCAACACACCCUGCACAACUAAUGAACAAAAGCUAAGAGAAGAUGACCACCUAAAGAGGACAGAUCCACAAGUGUUACCACACAGAUUAUGAAGUAAUUACAAAAGGAAAAACCUGUCUUUAUAGUGGAGAGAUCUGGUGAUCAUCACUAUAACCAAGGGAUCAACAAUGCAACAUCCAGUCAUUCUGAGCCUCCUGCUAUGAGACAGUAACAGGCACAGAGCAUCACCUGGGAUAUGCCCUAGCCAAACAUGCUUACCUCAAAUCUAAGCAUGAGGAAACCAUCAGACACAUCCACAAAAUGGGAUAUUCUACAAGGCAGUUGGCUUGGACUGACCCCCGCCCCCCACCAAAUUCAGUGCCAUGGAAAACCAAAACAAAAGCAAAAGGCAAGAGAACCAUUCCAGAUUCAAAGAAGGUAAAGAAAGGGAUGUAAUAACCAAGUGCAAGGCAAGAAACUUGAUUAAAUGCCUGACCAGAAAAAAAAAAAAAAAACUACAAAAGACAUUUGGAG